GUGGCUGACUUUAGCCUCACUGGUGGCCAACAGCCAGGAAAAGAGGAAAAUAGUGCUUGCUAAUGGAAAAUGAGUCUUCUUUACUAUGUGAAAACAAGGAGUAUUGGAUAAUUUCCCUCAGAGGCACUUAAGACAAGAACAGGAUCCUGGUUUCCCUGUUUCUGGGAUAAAUGAUAUGUUUGAUCCUACUGACGGAAGGGUUCUCCUGUAUGAACUCAGAUUAACGGAGAGAAGCUUACCGCAGGAGAAAAAUCAGUUCAUGCUAGGUCAUUACAAGUCUUUUGUCUUUUCCUUGUUCUCCCUCUGUAGAGCUGUAGCCCUUUGGUGCAGUUUGACAAGUGCGUACCCUGCAGCCAGUUACUUGGUUCUGAAGUACGGUAGUAUGCUUCUGUUUCUGUCUUUCCCAUAACAUGGCAUGAUGUCCCUGCAAGCCCGCAGCCACACACAGCAUCCACCCUGCUGGGAAGAGGACAUCUGUUCUGCAGAAAACCUUAAUAUCAAGUGAUAAUCAAGCAACCAACCUUACAACAACUGCAGUUUUAUGUUGGGACUUAUGUGCAUGACAUCGCCAGUUGUGUAACGCCUCAUCUUCUCUUAAAGUUAAUUGCACUAAACAGGUCUUUGCUCCGUUUCAACAGCAGAGUGGGCUGCACGGCAAUAGUUCACGGGGAGGGGAUGCAUGUUCUCCACAUCGCUGAGGGGUGCAGAGCCAAAAAAGAUCAAGGGACUUGGCAAGAGGUGGAUUUUCAUGGGGCCUGGAAGCUGCACUGCUGGGAGCUUGGGGUGCUCAGGGCAGCGAGUUGGGCUUCAGCUCUGUCUGCAGCUACAGAACAUGUGUAAGUGCUGGAAACACUGAGUCUGAUCUGUACUAACAGACAAAGACUGGGUUGCUGAAUUUGCACUGCUGUUUGGUCCUCAAUGUUGAUGAAAAGGAAACAGCUAGAGUUUUUUGGAUGAAGUAAUGAUAUUUUAUAAAUAGAUUAUUGAUUAAGUGGACAUGAUAGGAGGCUUGUUACAGCCGUGUGAUAGAUGUAUACAAUUACAGGUGCCUUUAUUUGAAGACAUGGUCUGAAAUUUAAUAAUUGAGUUGUAGUAGUUAUACUUUAACUUGUUACUUGAUUUAAAUUACCAGGCUGAUCACAAACAGGUCCAUAACACAUCAGUUCCUAGACUAAUGAACCAUACAUCCUUGUCGACUUUAGUAAUGUUUUGACAGUUUUUGCCUCAGUGCCUUUGAAUUACAAGUGUGUAGAGAUGUAUUGCUUACUGCUACAAUAGGUCUUUCCCUCAGGGUAUGGUAGGUCACGUUGGCUGAAUCUGAAUUGGUUAACUAAACAAUGACAAUUUCUGUAAUGCUUUAGAAGAAGGCUACAAUCAUUUUUUAUAGCUGUAAUUGCGUUUUUUUCACAAGCAGAAAGAUAUUAAAAGAAUGAUAUUUUUCUAUUUCAUACAUUAUUUAACUUUUCUGAAAUCACAGUUACAAAGCUUUUAAAAUAUAGAAGAUUUAUGUAGCAGUGUGAUUAAUUCUAAGAUGGUAGAAAACUGCUGUUGAUCCUCUCUUCACAAACAGAAAUGCAAAAUAAUUCGUUUUUAAAAAUGAGGCUGCCUUUACCUUUUCACCGAUGGAUACAUUAUGC
rnacentral:lncRNA from 7 species